UAAGGAAUAUUGGUCAAUGGAGGCAACUCUGAACCAGCCAUGCCGCGUGCAGGAAGACUGCCCUAUGGGUUGUAAACUGCUUUUAUCCGGGAAUAAACCUUUCUACGUGUAGAAAGCUGAAUGUACCGGAAGAAUAAGGAUCGGCUAACUCCGUGCCAGCAGCCGCGGUAAUACGGAGGAUCCAAGCGUUAUCCGGAUUUAUUGGGUUUAAAGGGUGCGUAGGCGGCCUGUUAAGUCAGGGGUGAAAGACGGUAGCUCAACUAUCGCAGUGCCCUUGAUACUGAUGGGCUUGAAUGGACUAGAGGUAGGCGGAAUGAGACAAGUAGCGGUGAAAUGCAUAGAUAUGUCUCAGAACACCGAUUGCGAAGGCAGCUUACUAUGGUCUUAUUGACGCUGAGGCACGAAAGCGUGGGGAUCAAACA
rnacentral:rRNA from 1 species